ACCAGACUCCUACGGGAGGCAGCAGUGGGGGAUAUUGCACAAUGGGGGGAACCCUGAUGCAGCGACGCCGCGUGGGUGAAGAAGCGCCUCGGCGCGUAAAGCCCUGUCAGCAGGGAAGAAAAUGACGGUACCUGAAGAAGAAGCCCCGGCCAACUACGUGCCAGCAGCCGCGGUAAUACGUAGGGGGCAAGCGUUAUCCGGAUUUACUGGGUGUAAAGGGGGCGCAGACGGCGAUGCAAGCCAGGAGUGAAAGCCCGGGGCCCAACCCCGGGACUGCUCUUGGAACUGCGUGGCUGGAGUGCAGGAGGGGCAGGCGGAAUUCCUGGUGUAGCGGUGAAAUGCGUAGAUAUCAGGAGGAACACCGGUGGCGAAGGCGGCCUGCUGGACUGCAACUGACGUUGAGGCCCGAAAGCGUGGGGAGCAAACAGGAUUAGAUACCCCUGUAC
rnacentral:rRNA from 1 species